UUGGAGGGCAAGUCUGGUGCCAGCAGCCGCGGUAAUUCCAGCUCCAAUAGCGUAUAUUAAAGUUGUUGCAGUUAAAAAGCUCGUAGUUGAAUUUCGAGAUCAGUACGCUGGUCGUGCCUUUGGUAUGCACUGGUGUCACUGGUUUCUCCCUUCUGAAGAACUGUCAUGCCAUUCAGUUGGUGUGGCGGGGAAUCAGGACUGUUACUUUGAAAAAAUUAGAGUGUUUAAAGCAGGC
rnacentral:rRNA from 1 species